AUCCUAAGAAGAAUUUUAAUCAAAAAACUUUGACGGUAUUAAUAUUUAUAAAGGAGUUUGUUUUUUAAUAGAUAACCCACAAUUUACCUUACUUAAAUUAUAUUUGUAUAUCACCGUAUAGAUUUUAUUUAAAAUUUCAUAAUGAAUAAUUUCAAAAUAUCAGGUCAUAACGCAGUUUUUUUAAGAUAAAAUGAACUACAGUAAUUUAUUAUAAACAGAUUAUUUUUUGAAAUAAAAAUAUGAAGAAGGAUUUAUUAGUAAAUAAAAAAUAAAUUAUUAUAUUGAAAAUUAUUAUUAAUAUGUACAUAUCGCCCGUCAU
rnacentral:rRNA from 1 species